rnacentral:rRNA from 1 species
AGCGUAGACGGCGUGGCAAGUCUGAUGUGAAAGGCAUGGGCUCAACCUGUGGACUGCAUUGGAAACUGUCAUACUUGAGUGCCGGAGGGGUAAGCGGAAUUCCUAGUGUAGCGGUGAAAUGCGUAGAUAUUAGGAGGAACACCAGUGGCGAAGGCGGCCUACUGGACGGUAACUGGCGUUGAGGCUCGAAAGUGUGGGUAGCAAACA